AUUGAACGCUGGCGGCAUGCCUUACACAUGCAAGUCGAACGGUAACAGGUCUUCGGAUGCUGACGAGUGGCGAACGGGUGAGUAAUACAUCGGAACGUGCCUAGUAGUGGGGGAUAACUACUCGAAAGAGUGGCUAAUACCGCAUGAGAUCUACGGAUGAAAGCAGGGGAUCGCAAGACCUUGUGCUACUAGAGCGGCAGAUGGCAGAUUAGGUAGUUGGUGGGAUAAAAGCUUACCAAGCCGACGAUCUGUAGCUGGUCUGAGAGGACGAUCAGCCACUCUGGGACUGAGACACGGCCCAGACUCCUACGGGAGGCAGCAGUGGGGAAUUUUGGACAAUGGGCGAAAGCCUGAUCCAGCAAUGCCGCGUGCAGGAUGAAGGCCUUCGGGUUGUAAACUGCUUUUGUACGGAACGGAAAGCCCCGGGUUAAUACCCUGGGGUCAUGACGGUACCGUAAGAAUAAGCACCGGCUAACUACGUGCCUGCAGCCGCCGCGG
rnacentral:rRNA from 1 species